UGCCAUAAAUAACUCCGAGCUUUGUUAGCUAAGUCGCGUUGAUAUGCUAGCUCAGCCAGUGGCUAAAGGUCACAAGGGCAUGAUUGGAAAUGAUUCUGCCUCCCGUGUUUGGAAAGGUGUUCCGUGGCGCAACAA
rnacentral:ncRNA from 1 species